GCAGUUUUAUUUUAAAAAUUAAAAAAAUGAGGUUCUUAUGGUGUUCCAAGUCGAACCUCGCCUAUUAGUCCAACCUGGGCAUAACCCAAAAUCGUGGUGUUCCACGAUGCAAUAAUAUCCUUCAUUGGCCUGUAAAAGAAACCACGGGAACUGUGCACUGUUAUACAAAACAGUAUUCGGUUGGGGAAUUUUCUCAAAUAGUUGGUAUGCAUGAUUAGUAGUGGAGCCUCCCCUUCAACCGCUGCCAAAGGCACAAGAAGAGCAGCAACAACAACGAUUUCUCAGUGAAACACACCCACAGUCUGAUAACCAUUGCGACAAAGGCUAUGAUGGAGUGUUUCUGUAUGAGUCAAUGUGUUUAUGUGGCUACCAACAACGUUGCGACAAAGGCGCCCAUGGAGAGCUUCUUCUUUUGCAUGGUGUUCACCGGUGAAUUGGAAGGCGAGGACAGCGCUAGCGCCAACGCCAGGAACAAGGGGUUGCACGCCUUCCAUGGCGGUCCAAAAAAUCUUGGUUUCUGACGAGAACCAGAUUCCUACAACUCU
rnacentral:lncRNA from 1 species